rnacentral:rRNA from 1 species
UACGGAGGGUGCAAGCGUUAUCCGGAAUCAUUGGGUUUAAAGGGUCCGCAGGCGGUCUGAUAAGUCAGUGGUGAAAGCCUACAGCUCAACUGUAGAACUGCCAUUGAUACUGUCAGACUUGAAUUCGAUCGAAGUGGGCGGAAUGUGACAUGUAGCGGUGAAAUGCGUAGAUAUCGGGAGGAACACCAGAGGCGGAAGGCGGGCUACUGGGCUGAUACUGACGCUGAUGCGCGAAAGCUAGGGGAGCAAACAGG